CUAAAAUUGUAUGGUGAUGUAUUGUCCAUUAUAAUUAUAAGGGAGAUGGAUGGCAAAUUAUUGUCUAAAUCAGCAUAAUAAAUGGACUGUUAUUUUUUGCCGCGUUAUAUUUUCAAUGUACUGUAGAUUUUACCAUAAACUUAGCACUUAUUUGGGGAUAUUGGCAGCCAUGUUGACCUUAUCUUAGAUUAUUCUUAAUCAACUAGCUCCAUUGUGAAGACAGUUAUAACUAUGCUUAUGGUAUUAGCUAUACUAGUGUCCUUUUUAAGUGGCCAAUAUAUCGUAUUCCUGCUGGGGCUCAAACAUUAUGUUUUUAUUGGUAUAGAAAGUUGUCAUCAGUCUAGGGCCCUAAAUGUUUGGCAUACAGCAUUAUUAUUGAUCUACGACCUUGACUAGUUGACGUUAAGGAAAUGCUAUUGAUCUAGUGCCGUACAUGUUUGCAUACAGUAAUUGCUAUUUAUCUACAACCUUAACUAUUUGGCCUUAAGCGAUUGCUAUUGAUCGACAGUUUUGAUUAUUUCAUAUAUUUGGCGAAUGCUAUUGAUCUAUAGUUUUGACCUUUGACAUAAAUCAAAUUAUAUUGAUCUACAUAUUUGACUAUUUGGUAUAAAGCAAUUGCUAUUGAUCUCAAGCUUUGACAAUUUGGUAUAGAGAAAUUGCUAUUGAUCGCAAGCUUUGACAAUUUGGUAUAAAGCAAUUGCUAUUGAUCUCAAGCGUUGACUAUUUGGUAUAAAGCAAUUGCUAUUGAUCUCAAGCUUUGACUAUUUGGUAUAAAGCAAUUGCUAUUGAUCUCAAGCUUUGACAAUUUGGUAUAGAGAAAUUGCUAUUGAUCUCAAGCUUUGAUAAUUUGGUAUAAAGCAAUUGCUAUUGAUCUCAAGCUUUGACUAUUUGGUAUAAAGCAAUUGCUAUUGAUCUCAAGCUUUGACUAUUUGGUAUAAAGCAAUUGCUAUUGAUCUCAAGCUUUGACAAUUUGGUAUAAAGCAAUUGCUAUUGAUCUCAAGCUUUGACUAUUUGGUAUAAAGCAAUUGCUAUUGAUCUCAAGCUUUGACUAUUUGGUAUAAAGCAAUUGCUAUUGAUCUCAAGCUUUGACUAUUUGGUAUAAAGCAAUUGCUAUUGAUCUCAAGCUUUGAUAAUUUGAUAUAAAGCAAUUGCUAUUGAUCUCAAGCUUUGACUAUUUGGUAUACAGCAAGUGCUAUUGAUCUCAAGCUUUGACAAUUUGGUAUAAAGCAAUUGCUAUUGAUCUCAAGCUUUGACUAUUUGGUAUAAAGCAAUUGCUAUUGAUCUCAAGCUUUGACUAUUUGGUAUAAAGCAAUUGCUAUUGAUCGCAAGCUUUGACAAUUUGGUAUAGAGAAAUUGCUAUUGAUCGCAAGCUUUGACAAUUUGGUAUAGAGAAAUUGCUAUUGAUCUCAAGCUUUGAUGAUUUGGUAUAAAGCAAUUGCUAUUGAUUUCAAGCUUUGACUAUUUGGUAUACAGCAAGUGCUAUUGAUCUCAAGCUUUGACUAUUUGGUAUACAGCAAGUGCUAUUGAUCUCAAGCUUUGACAAUUUGGUAUAAAGCAAUUGCUAUGUAUCGACAGCUUUGACUAUUUGGCAUUAAGCAAAUGAUAUUGAUAUAGGUACUAAAUUAUUUGGUAUAAGCAGCUGCUAUCCAUCUAGGACUACGGAUAGUUGAUAUAUAGACAUAGCUCGACCUAGGGUCUUAAAUAACGUCAUACAGAGCAACUGCUAUUUGUCUUUAACUUAUGUUUAUGCCUCACUUUAACGGUUAAACAAAUUCUUCAUUUCAUUUCGGAUUACAUUUCAGUAAUUCUGUUUUACCCAUUCUGUAUAUGGGACGACCCGACUGUUACCGGAAACAUUUGUUUUCAAAUGAUGUCACAAUAACGCGGGUAAAGAUCAACCACUUUAAAUCACUUUUAAACGUAAAAUUGAAACACUUUUGGCGACAAAACGUUUAAAAUAUAAUAACUAAGCACUAUCUAAAAUGUUCAUUUAUUAUAUGGGAACUGCUGACACAAAACAAACAAUAACAAGAUUAAUAGUUUUCACGUAUAUUGUUAUGCGAUGUAUUGCGAUCCGAACAAUUUUUGAUGCGUUCAUCAAUCGCAUUCAUCGAUUGAUGAACGCAGUUGCCGAAAGGCAGUUCAUUUAAGGAAUGGAAGUUGAGGUGUAAAUAUACCAUGAUAGCCGUGUUAAUGGGCCGUGUUUUUACCUUCCAGGUGGCCCCGCAGUGCCGGGUGAGUGCGGUGGUUUUGUUUUUGUGCUGAAAAUAGCGGGGAAUGGGCCUUACCAAGGGUCCCUGGGGUGCAUGGGCAUUUGGCGGGGAUUUUACCAGCAGUUCGUCCCCGCAGGACAGGGAUUUUACCCGGGCUUGGCUGGUCGGAAAGUCAAAGUCCCAGCUACUCCCCGGACCUGGGGGACCGUGGUUACAAUUGACGGGUGCAUAACAAUAUACUCUACUUCCUUCGUGUAUUUAUGAACGUAUAUGUAAUAAUAAAAGUGUUGUGAAUAUGUUUAGUCCCACUAAAGAAAUGUUACCAACACCAAUCAAACUUAUAAAUAUGUUAUUAAUCGUAGGGACAUCUCUCGGAUAUAUGACCGGGGAAUUACAUAACUUGCUUAGAAGCUCACCAUGCUUAAAGCAUCCCACUUUCUCGUACUGAUAAAAAAAACACACACCCACCCACCCCCCGAACGAAAUAUGCUGCUUGACUUAAAAAAACAACAAAAAACAUCCUGUUGUUUUCUAUUUUUAUUCGAAGUACAUUACGCUAAAGGAACAUUGACUUCAUUAUGUACUUUUCCAGCUGACUGAAAGUAAUUUAUUAUCUCCAGACAAACUGUUAUCUGUUUUAUUAAUAAUUGAGAUAGAUGGUAUAUUCUAGUCUAGGUCAGCGUAAUAAAUAGACUGUUAAUUGGGGGAGGGGUGUAUUUUGUUUAAAACAGAGUUUAUGAUCGUACUUUUUUUUUCAAAGUCAUGUAGUUUAAUAUAAAUAAAAAAAAAUAUUUCGUUGCAAAUACCUAACAAAAUGACAACAAUCAUUAAACCUUUUUGUAGGACUAUUAUAUUGUGUUGGAGUGACGUAAUUUUAAUUUGCACUUAUUUAUUACAGUCGAACUCCGUUGGCUCGAACUCUCAGGGACCAACGAAAAUACCUCAAGCCUCGAUAAAUUCGACCCAAGCGGGAUUGUUUACCUUUAGUUUAACAAAAUCGGUCCUUAAUAUAUAGUUCGAGCCAACGAGGAAUUCGAGCCAAGCGAGUUCCAGCCACACACGCGACUAGCUUGUUCGUUGAAAAAGGCAUAUUCAUGCUAAUAUUAAACACUUUGGAGUCCCUGGGUAGAAACUAGUACGGGGAUCUUGGGGAGGCCCUAGUAAAUUAUAUUAGAAAUGUCGCGUAAAUAAUCUAUCAUCGUCCUUGAAUAUAUACAUCAUAUAAUUGAAAAUUAUACAUACGAUAAGACGCAUUCAAGAUUACAACUAUAUAAAUAAUGCAUUCUAAAUCAUAACCAUCGAACUUCUUUUGUGAUUUGCUGAAUACAAAUCCUAUUUAUAAAAGCAAUACCCGUAAAUUAAAAGUUUAUUUAUUCAGGAAUAAAAAUACUUCUAUAAAUAUUUAUUUUGUAUUUAAAUAGUAAUUCCAUUAGUAGGACCACUGCAAAUAUGAAUUUGAUUAUUAUUAGAUCUUAAGAAAAUGCUAUAUUUUUUAUACAUGCAUUGGUAUAGAGUUUUGAUUUUGUUUGAAACAAAACGUUUAUAACGAGUCUGUUUUGAAGGUUGAAAUCAAGAUAAUUGUUUCAUACUUUUUUUGUUUUAUAAAUAAAGCUAUUUUGCGAUUUAUAGAAAUCUUAUCGUUUUGUAUUUAAAGUUAUAUGUAUAUAUGAAAUAUAAAGAUGUACAUGUAUGAUUAUGGAAUUAUGCUCUACAACUGCAAAAGCUUCGAUUACAAGUAAACGCGCAUGAAAAAGUGUCCAUGUCUCGAGAGCCUACUUACACAUGUGUAUAAGAAUGUUAGCCGAAUACAUGAACAUGGUUCUAUGCACAUUAAAAGAUACCAAUGGAAAAGGAUAAUGAACAGCAACCUUACAACGAUAAAGAGGCUGCAAGACACUAAGUGUGCGUGUACUUGUACGCGUAGCAACACGGACGUGUAAAAUUGAAGUGUGGUUUAAAUGUCGUUUGCUUUAUCAUACUGUAAACUUGUACUUGGUGGCCAUAAACCACUUUCCCCAUGCUUUCGUACAUGACAUUAUAAACGUGUACAAAGUACACAUACCUGGAUGACGUAAUGCACAAAAAUAGUCAACACGAACACAUACGUAAAUGACAUAAUGCACAAAAAGUAGUCCACACGAACACAUACUUGAAUGACGAAGUGAACAACAAUGUUUUACAACCUUUCUAAUGUAAAAAAAACAAGCCAGUAGGUAUCUCUAUAUGUACAUAAAGUUAUCGCUGAUAUUGUAUUUUCCUCAUAUUUUGCAAGAUCACCGAAACAUUAUCAAAAUAAAUAUUAUGGCAUUCAUGGAUGUAUUACUAUACAAAAAAAAUAAAUAAAUAUAUGAUCAUUAACGGAACAAAAGAGGAAAAAAUAUAACAAAAGUAAGCAUAUAUAUAUGCAGAUAUGAAGCCUUAAUGACACAUGAGCGUAAUUCAUAGAUGACAAAAAGAAAGGAAUUAAAUUUAUUUAAAACAAGAGCACAGCGAGCGAAUGUCAGCGCUCGUCUGUGUUGUCAGCCAAUGGUUUAAACUUAUUUAUUUAAAAUCAAUUUUAAAACAAGUUAUAAAACAUUAUAUUAAUCAUUCUCAUUAGGCAAUGAAUGGGUAUAACUCGUCUGUACUUAAUUUCACGCACAGAACUUGGUUGUUUUUAUGCUAUAUACAACGUUAAAACUGUUGCCCGCAGCCGGCGACAACGACAACGACACCGAUGCUAGGACAAGACCUCGGACCUGACUUUCAAAAAACGGCGAGCUAAUAACACAACAAAUCUAUACAAUUUAAGCAGUUUACAGCAAAAUACAUGGCAUCUUAUGACUCUACUUCUCCAAACACUGACACACGAACCGUUAAGAUAUACACAAUUGGAUAUACAUUUUUUUUAUAUUGGAUAAACAGUUUUAUAUUGGAUAUACAUUUUUUUAUAUUGGAUAUACAUUUUUUUAAGUUUUUUUUAUGUCUUUCUAACCUAGACAACAUUGCUAUAUACAUAUAUACAAGAUUGUUAUUCUGAUUAAAAAAAAAAAAAAUACGAUAUCUUUAAAACAAUAAAUUAUUCGAACGUUUUCUUGCAAAA